rnacentral:rRNA from 1 species
UACGAAGGGGGCCAGCGUUGCUCGGAAUCACUGGGCGUAAAGGGUGCGUAGGCGGGUCUUUAAGUCAGGGGUGAAAUCCUGGAGCUCAACUCCAGAACUGCCUUUGAUACUGAGGAUCUUGAGUCCGGGAGAGGUGAGUGGAACUGCGAGUGUAGAGGUGAAAUUCGUAGAUAUUCGCAAGAACACCAGUGGCGAAGGCGGCUCACUGGCCCGGUACUGACGCUGAGGCACGAAAGCGUGGGGAGCAAACAGG